AUUGAACGCUGGCGGCAUGCCUUACACAUGCAAGUCGAACGGCAGCACGGGAGCAAUCCUGGUGGCGAGUGGCGAACGGGUGAGUAAUAUAUCGGAACGUGCCCAGUCGUGGGGAUAACGUAGCGAAAGCUACGCUAAUACCGCAUACGAUCUAUGGAUGAAAGCGGGGGAUCGCAAGACCUCGCGCGAUUGGAGCGGCCGAUAUCAGAUUAUGUAGUUGGUGAGGUAAAGGCUCACCAAGCCGACGAUCUGUAGCUGGUCUGAGAGGACGACCAGCCACACUGGGACUGAGACACGGCCCAGACUCCUACGGGAGGCAGCAGUGGGGAAUUUUGGACAAUGGGCGCAAGCCUGAUCCAGCAAUGCCGCGUGCAGGAUGAA
rnacentral:rRNA from 1 species